UACGUAGGGGGCAAGCGUUGUCCGGAAUUAUUGGGCGUAAAGGGUGCGUAGGCGGCCUUUUAAGUCAGAUGUGAAAGCCCACGGCUUAACCGUGGGACUGCAUUUGAAACUGGAGGGCUUGAGUAUCGGAGAGGGUAGUGGAAUUCCCAGUGUAGCGGUGGAAUGCGUAGAUAUUGGGAGGAACACCAGUGGCGAAGGCGACUACCUGGACGAAAACUGACGCUGAGGCACGAAAGCUAGGGGAGCAAAC
rnacentral:rRNA from 1 species